ACCUCCGUGAAGUUGGCGCCUGAUUGAAAUAUUUUAAUUUUAUUAUUGUAUCAAAAAAUUGCUCCUUAAUUGCUCCUCUGGAAUACGUUAUUUUUCCUAAUUGCUCCAGCGCCGUUUGGUCGUAAAAAAACUAAAAAUUUUCCGGAAUUUUUUUUUUUCUAGAUUUAUUUCCGAAGCCCGAAUCUCCGCUUGAGGAGGGCCUAUAGUGUUUUCAGCUAUACUAAAAAAUUGCUUCCAAUUUGCUCCCAAUUUGCUCCCAAUUGCUCCGUACUUGUUGUUGGCUUUUUCGUUGUAAUUUUGCAUAAAAAAUAUAAAACUUCGUUCCACGGUAAAAUUCGGUCUGCGCAUGUGUCAACUAAUGUAUUGUCAGUUGCGACGUCACUCGCCAACUUCAGAGCGGUGGGUUGUGGCUUCCCACUCACGUUUCGCGCUGAAAAUUACACCGAAUUUGGUUUUUCAUAUCAGCUGCAGUCUAAGAAAUUUUCCAAUUAUAAUAUCGAAAUAUAAGAAAAUUUUUUAAUAAUCCAUACAGCAGAAAGGGUUAAUACUUGGCUCGACAAGGGCGCGGCAGCGAUGUGAAUCUAUUUUCUACUUGCGUCAGCAUUAGCGACCGCUCGAUUAAGUUACAGGCUUCCAUUCUUUAUUUGGAGUUGCUAGGUGGUUUAGGCCCAGUCACGCAUGAAGCAAAAAGGAUUAAGAUCUUACGAGGCAUAGGAGGCUGCCAUGUAAUUCGGAGAUUUGUGGUGGCUGAUUCGUCAUUUGGAUAUACAUGACAUCGUCUUCAGACAUCUGUCACAGUGCAAGACCGUGUGGAACAAGAUGAUUACAAAACCAAUAUAGAGUUCUCGAGCUUGCUAUAGUUACAUCCUGAAGAAACUGGAGAUUCAUGCAGUACGUGUUCGGCUGCACACAUUCAGUAUUCAGCGACAGCCCAUUGACACACCAUAAUGGAACCGAAAAGACUACCAGUUGAAAUGUCAUUUGCACUAGAUAGACCUGUUCUGCGAUGAAUGAUCUAUGAGACAUUAUAAGUGCAAAAAAAUUUUGUAACAUAUUUCUAAUUCUGAAGUUAUUAUCCCCAACACUACACCUAUAAAUCGAUAAAUAAUAAUGUAAGAAAAUUUCGUAAAUUUUAAUUUAUUGUUUCUGCAUGAACACUUACUUUUAAAAAAUUCAAUAAUAAAUCAACAGGAAAACUAAUAUUGUGUGUGGUCUAGUAUUUAUUUUUCUCGCUGCAAGAUCUACUAUCGGUAUGUAUGCUGCUCUCUCCACCCCAGCUAUUAUUACCUUUCGCAUACACCUUACCUAUUAUUACCGAAUUCGUGUUACGAUCUUAUUCUCAGAUUAUCAAUUUAUUUUCAUAGUUUCCAGUCCCAAUUUAGAAUAAGUGACACCUUAUUGUCACGGAUGUAAAAUAGUAAAAAAAAAAAAACCUGAUGAAAGUAGACAGCAAAUGCCAAUAAAAUCUGAAAAAAACAUAAAUUAAAGGCCCACGCACUCAUGA